UGUAAACCAAAUUGUAUGUGGCUUGAAGCGAAAUCCCAGGGCUGAAGCUGGAAUACGGUAGGGGCAGAGAGAAUUUUUGAUAGAGCGGUGAAAUGCAUCGAGAUAGAAAAGAACACCAAUGGCAAAAACACUCUACUGGACCGACACUGACACCAAGAUGAAAGGGGAGCGAAUGGAUUAGAGAGCCCAAUAGUUAAGACAACAAUUAUGGCUCUGUAGAUGCAGUAUUCCAUCACUAAACAAAGACAGAGGGA
rnacentral:ncRNA from 1 species